UUAACUCAAAUUUGUAUGGAGUUGGAACGUUAGCCUACGUUCGCCGCUAGGGGCGCUGUUCCAAUUGCAUUCAAAUGUGUGUUA
rfam:Bombyx mori DNA, contig: Bm_scaf160_contig40616, strain: p50T/Dazao, build 2, whole genome shotgun sequence.